GGUAAGGUGGGGCGAGCGGCGGGGGUGAAAGGGUGGUGGGGGGCGUUGUUCGGAUUCAGUGGGCGUGCAGGGUGGGUAGGCGGGGUGGUAAGGCUGCGGGUAAAGCUUCGGGCGCAACACGGGAAGCGCAGAGGGUACUGCCAGGGGAGAGGGUGGGAGAGGGGGGCGGAAUUCCCGGGGUAGCGGUGAAAUGCGUAGAGAGCGGGAGGAAGGCCGGUGGCGAAGGCGGCGCUCUGGAACACACCUGACGCUGAGACACGAAAGCGUGGGGAGCAAACGGGAUUAGAUACCCUGGUAGUC
rnacentral:rRNA from 1 species